CCUACGGGAGGCAGCAGUGGGGAAUAUUGCACAAUGGGCGCAAGCCUGAUGCAGCGACGCCGCGUGAGCGAUGAAGGCCUUCGGGUCGUAAAGCUCUGUCCUAAGGGAAGAAUAAUGACGGUACCUUAGGAGGAAGCCCCGGCUAACUACGUGCCAGCAGCCGCGGUAAUACGUAGGGGGAGAGCGUGAUCCGGAAACAUUGGGCGUAAAGGGUGCGUAGGCGGCCCUGCAAGUCAGGAGUUAAAUCUCUCGGCUCAACCGAGGUUAGAUCGUGAAACUGUAGGGGUUGAGUGCAGGUGAGGGGAUCGGCAUUCCUAGUGUGGCUGUGGAAUGCGUAGAUAUUAGGAGGAACGCCAGUGGCGAAGGCGGCUCUCUGGACUGCAACUGACGCUGAGGCACGAAAGCGUGGGGAGCGAACAGGAUUAGAUACCCUAGUGGUC
rnacentral:rRNA from 1 species